GUCGAGCGAGGUUUUCGGACCUAGCGGCGGACGGGUGAGUAAUGCGUAGGAAGCUGCCCGAUAGAGGGGGAUACCAGUUGGAAACGACUGUUAAUACCGCAUAAUGUCUACGGACCAAAGUAUGGGACCUUCGGGCCAUAUGCUAUCGGAUGCGCCUACGUGGGAUUAGCUAGUUGGUGGGGUAAAGGCUCACCAAGGCGACGAUCCCUAGCUGGUUUGAGAGGAUGAUCAGCCACACUGGGACUGAGACACGACCCAGACUACUACGGGAGGCAGCAGUGGGGAAUAUUGGACAAUGGGCGCAAGCCUGAUCCAGCCAUGCCGCGUGUGUGAAGAAGGCCUUAGGGUUGUAAAGCACUUUCAGUGGGGAGGAAGGGGUUGUUGUUAAUAGUAACAAU
rnacentral:rRNA from 1 species